GCUCCAAUAGCGUAUAUUUAAGUUGUUGCAGUUAAAAAGCUCGUAGUUGGAUUUCGGGUGGGUUCCGGCGGUCCGCCUCUGGUGAGUACUGCCGCGGCCUCCUUUCUGCCGGGGACGGGCUCCUGGGCUUCACUGUCCGGGACUCGGAGUCGGCGAGGAUACUUUGAGUAAAUUGGAGUGUUCAAAGCAGGCUUACGCUC
rnacentral:rRNA from 1 species